rnacentral:rRNA from 1 species
GACGAACGCUGGCGGCGUGCUUAACACAUGCAAGUCGAACGGAAAGGCCCUGCUUUUGUGGGGUGCUCGAGUGGCGAACGGGUGAGUAACACGUGAGUAACCUGCCCUUGACUUUGGGAUAACUUCAGGAAACUGGGGCUAAUACCGGAUAGGAGCUCCUGCUGCAUGGUGGGGGUUGGAAAGUUUCGGCGGUUGGGGAUGGACUCGCGGCUUAUCCGCUUGUUGGUGGGGUAGUGGCUUACCAAGGCUUUGACGGGUAGCCGGCCUGAGAGGGGGACCGGCCACAUUGGGACUGAGAUACGGCCCAGACUCCUACGGGAGGCAGCAGUGGGGAAUAUUGCACAAUGGGCGGAAGCCUGAUGCAGCAACGCCGCGUGCGGGAUGACGGCCUUCGGGUUGUAAACCGCUUUCGCCGGUGACGAAGCGUGAGUGACGGUAAUGGGUAAAGAAGCACCGGCUAACUACGUG